CACGUAGGGCGCAAGCGUUGUCCGGAAUUAUUGGGCGCAAAGAGCUCGUAGGCGGCUUGUCGCGUCGACUGUGAAAUCCCGCGGCUCAACUGCGGGUCUGCAGUCGAUACGGGCAGGCUAGAGUUCGGUAGGGGAGACUGGAAUUCCUGGUGUAGCGGUGAAAUGCGCAGAUAUCAGGAGGAACACCGAUGGCGAAGGCAGGUCUCUGGGCCGAUACUGACGCUGAGGAGCGAAAGCGUGGGGAGCGAACAGG
rnacentral:rRNA from 1 species